GAUGAACGCUGGCGGCGUGCCUAAUACAUGCAAGUCGAGCGAACAGACGAGGAUCUUGCUCCUCUGACGUUACCGGCGGACGGGUGAUUAACACGUGGAUAACCGACCUAUAAGACUGGGAUAACUUCGGGAAACCGGAGCUAACACCCGUUAAUAUAUUGAACGUCAUGGUUCAAUAGUGAAAGACGGUUUUGCUGUCACUUAUUGAUGGAUCCGCGCCGCUUUAGUAAAUUGGUACGGUAACGGCUUACCAAGGCAACUAUGCGUAGCCGACCUGGGAGGUGAAUCGGCCAACCUGAAACUGAGAAACGGUCCAGAUUCCAAGGGGAGGCAGAAGUGGGAAUUCUUCCGCAAUGGGCGAAGGCUGAACGAGGCAACGCGGCGUGAGGAAGAAAGGUCUUCGAUUCGUAAACCUCUGUUGUUGGGAAAGAACAAAGGUGUAAGUAACCAUGCACGUCUGGACGGUACCUAAGCAGAAAGCCACGCCUAACUACGU
rnacentral:rRNA from 1 species